CUUACCUGUGAUGAGAAUUUGGCUCCCUCUUCUGAAACUAGUGAGGAGAUUGCCAAUUGUUACCCAAAACCUCUGAGGUACA